rnacentral:rRNA from 1 species
UUAAGCGACUAAGCGUACACGGUGGAUGCCCUGGCAGUCAGAGGCGAUGAAGGACGUGCUAAUCUGCGAUAAGCGUCGGUAAGGUGAUAUGAACCGUUAUAACCGGCGAUUUCCGAAUGGGGAAACCCAGUGUGUUUCGACACACUAUCAUUAACUGAAUCCAUAGGUUAAUGAGGCGAACCGGGGGAACUGAAACAUCUAAGUACCCCGAGGAAAAGAAAUCAACCGAGAUUCCCCCAGUAGCGGCGAGCGAACGGGGAGCAGCCCAGAGCCUGAAUCAGUGUGUGUGUUAGUGGAAGCGUCUGGAAAGGCGCGCGAUACAGGGUGACAGCCCCGUACACAAAAAUGCACAUGCUGUGAGCUCGAUGAGUAGGGCGGGACACGUGGUAUCCUGUCUGAAUAUGGGGGGACCAUCCUCCAAGGCUAAAUACUCCUGACUGACCGAUAGUGAACCAGUACCGUGAGGGAAAGGCGAAAAGAACCCCGGCGAGGGGAGUGAAAAAGAACCUGAAACCGUGUACGUACAAGCAGUGGGAGCACGCUUAGGCGUGUGACUGCGUACCUUUUGUAUAAUGGGUCAGCGACUUAUAUUCUGUAGCAAGGUUAACCGAAUAGGGGAGCCGAAGGGAAACCGAGUCUUAACUGGGCGUUAAGUUGCAGGGUAUAGACCCGAAACCCGGUGAUCUAGCCAUGGGCAGGUUGAAGGUUGGGUAACACUAACUGGAGGACCGAACCGACUAAUGUUGAAAAAUUAGCGGAUGACUUGUGGCUGGGGGUGAAAGGCCAAUCAAACCGGGAGAUAGCUGGUUCUCCCCGAAAGCUAUUUAGGUAGCGCCUCGUGAAUUCAUCUCCGGGGGUAGAGCACUGUUUCGGCAAGGGGGUCAUCCCGACUUACCAACCCGAUGCAAACUGCGAAUACCGGAGAAUGUUAUCACGGGAGACACACGGCGGGUGCUAACGUCCGUCGUGAAGAGGGAAACAACCCAGACCGCCAGCUAAGGUCCCAAAGUCAUGGUUAAGUGGGAAACGAUGUGGGAAGGCCCAGACAGCCAGGAUGUUGGCUUAGAAGCAGCCAUCAUUUAAAGAAAGCGUAAUAGCUCACUGGUCGAGUCGGCCUGCGCGGAAGAUGUAACGGGGCUAAACCAUGCACCGAAGCUGCGGCAGCGACGCUUAUGCGUUGUUGGGUAGGGGAGCGUUCUGUAAGCCUGCGAAGGUGUGCUGUGAGGCAUGCUGGAGGUAUCAGAAGUGCGAAUGCUGACAUAAGUAACGAUAAAGCGGGUGAAAAGCCCGCUCGCCGGAAGACCAAGGGUUCCUGUCCAACGUUAAUCGGGGCAGGGUGAGUCGACCCCUAAGGCGAGGCCGAAAGGCGUAGUCGAUGGGAAACAGGUUAAUAUUCCUGUACUUGGUGUUACUGCGAAGGGGGGACGGAGAAGGCUAUGUUGGCCGGGCGACGGUUGUCCCGGUUUAAGCGUGUAGGCUGGUUUUCCAGGCAAAUCCGGAAAAUCAAGGCUGAGGCGUGAUGACGAGGCACUACGGUGCUGAAGCAACAAAUGCCCUGCUUCCAGGAAAAGCCUCUAAGCAUCAGGUAACAUCAAAUCGUACCCCAAACCGACACAGGUGGUCAGGUAGAGAAUACCAAGGCGCUUGAGAGAACUCGGGUGAAGGAACUAGGCAAAAUGGUGCCGUAACUUCGGGAGAAGGCACGCUGAUAUGUAGGUGAAGCGACUUGCUCGUGGAGCUGAAAUCAGUCGAAGAUACCAGCUGGCUGCAACUGUUUAUUAAAAACACAGCACUGUGCAAACACGAAAGUGGACGUAUACGGUGUGACGCCUGCCCGGUGCCGGAAGGUUAAUUGAUGGGGUCAGCGCAAGCGAAGCUCUUGAUCGAAGCCCCGGUAAACGGCGGCCGUAACUAUAACGGUCCUAAGGUAGCGAAAUUCCUUGUCGGGUAAGUUCCGACCUGCACGAAUGGCGUAAUGAUGGCCAGGCUGUCUCCACCCGAGACUCAGUGAAAUUGAACUCGCUGUGAAGAUGCAGUGUACCCGCGGCAAGACGGAAAGACCCCGUGAACCUUUACUAUAGCUUGACACUGAACAUUGAGCCUUGAUGUGUAGGAUAGGUGGGAGGCUUUGAAGUGUGGACGCCAGUCUGCAUGGAGCCGACCUUGAAAUACCACCCUUUAAUGUUUGAUGUUCUAACGUUGACCCGUAAUCCGGGUUGCGGACAGUGUCUGGUGGGUAGUUUGACUGGGGCGGUCUCCUCCUAAAGAGUAACGGAGGAGCACGAAGGUUGGCUAAUCCUGGUCGGACAUCAGGAGGUUAGUGCAAUGGCAUAAGCCAGCUUGACUGCGAGCGUGACGGCGCGAGCAGGUGCGAAAGCAGGUCAUAGUGAUCCGGUGGUUCUGAAUGGAAGGGCCAUCGCUCAACGGAUAAAAGGUACUCCGGGGAUAACAGGCUGAUACCGCCCAAGAGUUCAUAUCGACGGCGGUGUUUGGCACCUCGAUGUCGGCUCAUCACAUCCUGGGGCUGAAGUAGGUCCCAAGGGUAUGGCUGUUCGCCAUUUAAAGUGGUACGCGAGCUGGGUUUAGAACGUCGUGAGACAGUUCGGUCCCUAUCUGCCGUGGGCGCUGGAGAACUGAGGGGGGCUGCUCCUAGUACGAGAGGACCGGAGUGGACGCAUCACUGGUGUUCGGGUUGUCAUGCCAAUGGCACUGCCCGGUAGCUAAAUGCGGAAGAGAUAAGUGCUGAAAGCAUCUAAGCACGAAACUUGCCCCGAGAUGAGUUCUCCCUGACUCCUUGAGAGUCCUGAAGGAACGUUGAAGACGACGACGUUGAUAGGCCGGGUGUGUAAGCGCAGCGAUGCGUUGAGCUAACCGGUACUAAUGAACCGUGAGGCUUAACCUU